GGGAGACAUAGUUGCAAGUGAACACUUCAUUAAAAUCAAGAGAGAUUGAUUCACCCAUAAAUAAUUUAAAACCAUUCCAUAUAUUAGAUUUGUACUGUUAAGGUGCAUAAAAAUACAUUAUAUACAAUUGCAUAUAAUUCUUCACAGAAGAACCAUUUGAUUCAUAUUAAGGAUUUUUUGACAGAGAUUAGACAACUAAUAGGUGAAAAGUGAAAACAAUAUCAG
rnacentral:misc_RNA from 1 species